CAGCAGUGGGGAAUAUUGGACAAUGGGCGCAAGCCUGAUCCAGCCAUGCCGCGUGUGUGAAGAAGGCCUUCGGGUUGUAAAGCACUUUUGUCCGGGAAGAAAUCUUCCGACCUAAUACGUCGGGAGGAUGACGGUACCGGAAGAAUAAGCACCGGCUAACUUCGUGCCAGCAGCCGCGGUAAUACGAAGGGUGCAAGCGUUACUCGGAAUUACUGGGCGUAAAGCGUGCGUAGGUGGUUCGUUAAGUCUGCCGUGAAAGCCCCGGGCUCAACCUGGGAAUGGCGGUGGAUACUGGCGGACUAGAGUGCGGUAGAGGGUGGUGGAAUUCCCGGUGUAGCAGUGAAAUGCGUAGAGAUCGGGAGGAACAUCUGUGGCGAAGGCGGCCACCUGGACCAGCACUGACACUGAGGCACGAAAGCGUGGGGAGCAAACAGGAUUAGAUACCCUGGUAGUCCACGCCCUAAACGAUGCGAACUGGACGUUGGGCUCAAUUAGGAGCUCAGUGUCGAAGCUA
rnacentral:rRNA from 1 species